GGUGGGCUUAUAGGUUUGGCGGGAAGGCCAUAUUGGACGAACGAAUGACAGGAGGGGAUUCGAUUGUGAUACGUAGUUUUUCACCCACACUACGACACAUCAUUCAAAAUAGCCAUUGGAAUUCACACGCAUACAUCAACAAAUGAUCGAAUCCCCUCCUGUCAUUUCGUUUUCAUUUUUCUACAGUACGGCUGUCAAUUUGUUCGGGAUAAGCCCACCUGUAUAAUAAACCCACUUUGUGUAGAACGGUAAACAAAACAAAAACAACACACGGUUCUUCGUCGUCCCCCAAAAAAUGGGUCCAUUUGAGGGCCAUUUAUGGUUCUGUUUGCAGGUAAUCAAGGGAAAUAUAAGCUUGAAACGCACGUGUGGUAAACAAAUCCAGCCACAAGCGCAAAGUGUUUCGAAAGAAGAAGAGACGAACAAAAAAGGUGUGUCUGACGCUCCUCUGUCCCCAAGCGCGUGGUGUGUGAGUGUGUUGCAAAAUGAAAAAAGCGUGUCGUAGGUAUUGGCCCCCGUAAAGUCGUAGGUAACACCUGUCGGACGGGUACGAGCGCGGGUAAGGUGAUAAGGUUCCCACAGCAAAGCUCCAACUUUACCCGGCGGAAGGUGCGAGCGGCGGACUUGUUUACAUUUUCGCUAACGAACUGCAGCGCGUUAAUUUUUGCUCUUCGUGGCCCCCCACUUCAGGCGGUGAGCUCCGUAGCGGCGUCCCUUCUACUUCACCGACACGUACAGCGAAUCUAUCCGCGAACCACAAACGGUGCGCCACACACGGCAGCAUUGUGUCUGUCACGCCGGAGAUUUGCAUUCGAGUAUUAAUUAUUUAUCGUAUUUAAUUACCGCCGGCCGGCCGGUCGGGGUUUGAAGGAGCCGCUUUUGAUGAGGCCCGGGUGUGUCCCGUACGUGACAUGUCGGCGGCCAACAGAAAAACAGGACGGUUGACCACACACUCGUGAUGCAUUUCCGCCCGCGGGCGCACAAUCGGACCACAUUGUUUGCCGUGGAUGGUAGUGAGCGGGGUAGUGUGAGAAGGGGCAGUAGUAAUGCGCAGGGAGAAUUAUUAACACACAAGACGCUUUGAAGGUGCAUCAACUCAAGAAGGCACGAAUGUAACAGCCUUAUUGUUGGCUUUGGUGUCGGCUAGGUGUGGCCAGUGGCUGUAGUAGACUGCGUGUGUGUGUGUGUGUGGAAUUCUUAAACGUGCACACCAUUCUUGCCACCAGAAGGGCACCGUCCACCCACCCAUAAGCUGGAUUGCAACCAAAAACGAUGAUACGCCCGAUAGGCCCAACAAAGAAGCACAGAAGGGGCAACAUAAGGGCGCCGUAUUUUAAAUUAAUCUAUGCAAUCAAUGCUCCGGCACACCAUAAACCUUAAUGGGCGAAACGAGAGAGCGAGAGAUGAUGUGACCACAGGGUCACAUCGGUAACACGUUACGGGUGUCCCGGCACAUGGCAGCAGCAGCAGCAGCAUCAUCAUCAUCAUCAUCUUCCCCAUCAUUUCUCCAGGCAGUCUCUGUGUGUUAUGUUUUGUUUGGGAAUGGGUCGUAAAAAUAAAUUAUUAUUCACACGCACACCGUGUGCGCAUCCAUAUUUUCCAUUCCCGGCAGAGGAAUCGUACAGUCGCACUUUCCAGAACGGGAGAAAUAGAUCUCUGACCCAUUAUCCGUCAUCAUCGCACAUCGUAAACCCCCCCCCCCCCCCCCCAGAACGACAAACGAUGCCUCGAGAGAGAGAGAAAGGUGGUGUAUGGAAAUCCGGGGCGGGGGAGUCGAACACAUUUCAAGCCGGUCCCGCCCGAAAUUACCGUCCGUCCGAACCAAUAAUCAUAAAACACGUCCCAUUUCAGCAACAACGCACCAAACGGUUUAACAGACGUCCUCACGUGAAAGUCAUCCAGCGGGGCAGUUUUGGGUCGAUUAAAAUAACGCACCUUUUGUGCAGGAGAAGGGCGAAUGAGCAGAUGCAAAAGAGAGCCCAUCGAGAAGCAUCCAUCCCGGGCACUGGGGACAAAGAGCAAUGUGCCAUUUGAAGACAUCCUGCAGCCCGUUACCACGUCGUUUGAUAACGAUAACGCACCUCUUUCCGGGCAAUGCCGCAACAUACUGUGCUGAUUGUUAUUGGCCGCUUGGGAGGGAAGUGCUGGAGUUGGUGCUGGUCGCUGCUUCGAGAAAGCAAAUCGCCAGAUGAUAAUCAGGAAACAUGCCCGGAUAUAACCGGAUAUGGCCACCUAAAGUGGAGUCCGGGAAGGAGUCGUGCGUGUUCUACCCGGUGCGCCCUGUAAAAUCCGGAACUUCCGGGGAAAAUUGAGUUGAAGUGGUGGCCGCCACCGAGCUUGGCCAACUAAGUUGGCUGACGAAGCGGUUUCUAGUGGCUGCGGCUGGCGCGUAAUGGCCUUUAUCAUAAUGGCAUUAAAAUAAUGAAGGAGUAAACUGCAUAGCGCAGAAAAAAAAGUGCCCCGUCAGCCAGCCAGGCAGCACUCCCUGCCGGAAGAGUGGGCAACUGGAUAAGCGCACCUUUGCUUCAUUCCCGAAAACAGGAAAAGAACGAACCAAGCGGGAACCGCUGUCAGUCAUCCUGUGGGUGUGUGUUGCUGCCAAUCAUAUUUAAAGAUAACAAAAAGGGAGAGAGGACAAAAAACUUCCAUACAAGGGAGAGAAAUGUGGUAGUACUAAUUUAAUAAUAAUUUAAUUUAAUGAAUUAUUAAUCCAUUUCGUGUUGAUUGCACAAAAUGUUGAUUACACACACUUUAGUGAGGUGUUGUUGCGAACGGGAGGAAAAAAAGAAGGUUUGGCUUUUGAAGUUCUUCCCGCUGCCUGUCCGAUGAAGGUCCGAUAAGCAAAACACGGGAUAUCACACCCAUAGAAUGGGGUUAAAUUUUGAAGGGACUACCAAACCAAAGCACCGGAAAAGCGUGAAAAGUUUCGCAUUUAAAAAAUGGGAAAUGUAAUAAGGAAAGGAUUCUAGCUGUUCUAUUACAUUAAGCUAAUGAAGGACGCUGCUUUGUACUUUGCUAUCAGUUUGCCGGGUUGGCGCUGGAUUGGUUCAUGCGGAAGUUGUUGGAAAUGGGAUGCUAUUUUUAACCUAAUCUGGAUGAUCAUUUUUAAUGUAAAGUAUUUUUAGGGCAAUGAAUCACUUAGUGGAACGCGAAAAAAAGGUUUUUUUAAUACCAUUUUAUCUUAUUAACAUUAAUUAUUUGGCAUUAUUAAUUAUUGUUAACAAGGGAAAGGAGCAGAAUUGUUAGGUUAUUAGUUACAGGUUCAUUAAUGCAUU